CUCGGGGGAAGCAUCCCCGCCAGGGGUGGGGUCUUGGGACUCCCUGGGGCUUCCGGAGCUGACUCGUGGCGGGGGGUCUCCUGCCCUCAGUUCCUGCUGACCAAAGUCCUGCCGCAUCUGGCGCCUACGAGGACGUGGCGGGUGGAGCUCAGACCGGUGGGCUAGGUUUCAACCUGCGCAUUGGGAGGCCGAAGGGGCCCCGGGACCCCCCUGCAGAGUGGACCCGGGUGUGAGUCUGCGCCAGCUCCUGCCUGUUGCCUCCUGUGAGCUCGGACUGCUGAUGUCCCGGCGCUGCUGAGCGCCGUGUGCAGAAUGGAAACAGUGCGCCUGAAUCAAAAUAAAAGUUCCUCAGGGUGGGAAAUGCGGGGGCUGUGUCCCAGUGAUUGUAGAAUUCAAGGCUGGAGGCUGGAGGAGGCAGGUUUGGUAUAAUGGCUGGCGAGGCUACACGGAGCGGAUUCAAGAAAGAAGAUCGGGAAGGGGCAUGGCCCCUGAGUUAUGAAGGGGAGAAUGGACAGAUGAGCUUCCAGCGACUGCUCUCCUCACCACAUAACGCACUGGUCCAUCCUCAACACCUGAGCCUGCCUCACUUGAACACUCAAGGGACCACACAGAGAAAUGGAUGGACCCCUCGCCAUCCAGGCAGACCGAUAAAAAGACCUCCAGAUAGGCAGAUAGACGGAUGGACCACCAACCUGGACAGACAGCCAAACCUUCAGAGAUACAGGCCACAGGUGGACAAACGGACCCCUCAGCCAGAGAGACCACCAAACAGCCCCCAAAAGACAGACACCUCUGCCAGCUGGACAGCCAGGUGGACCCCUAAGUUAGACAGAUGUAAACAGAUCCCCAGCUGAACAGACACACAGACUUCUCAGACCCUACCCCCAUCCCCCAGGUGGGCUGGCUGGCUGAAAAGACCUUCUGGCCAGACAGACUCCUAACCAACCAGAUGGACUGCCAGACAGACAGACAUCAGCCACAUGGAAUCCUGACAUCCCAGGCAGCCAGCCAGACUCUCAUCUUGAUGGGUGAACCCCAGUUGGUUGGUCAGGCAUGAUCCUCCAGAUUGACAGAGAAGUCCCCCAAGUGAGUACAUAUCUCCAGCUAUUCAGACAGAUGGACCCCCAGCAAAUCAGGCCCUAUCUAGACCGCAGCCAAACAGACCCCCAACCAGACUGACCCAUUGCUGUUCACACAGCCUCCCGAGUAGCUGGGACUACAGGUCUAAUUUUUAAAAAUUUUUUUAGAGAUGAGUUUGCCAUGUUGCCCAGGCUAGUCUCGAACUCCUGAGCUAAAGCAAUCCUCCUGCCUUAGCCUCCCAAAGUGCUGAGAUUAUAGGUGUGAGCCACCAGGCUCAGCCCUCUAAGAUUUGAAACACUUUAAAUGGCCCUAGCAGGUUUUAUCCUGCUAGGAUAAAACAUUAAGCAGCUGUUAAAAAAAAAAAAAGAAAAGAAAAGGAACUGCCUCUGUGCACUGGUGUGGACAAAUCUCCAAGUCACUGCAAAAUGGAAAAAUAUAAGAUGCUCUCUCCUGGAACCUCAAGGGUCCCGCCCCUCUCACCUUCAGGUUUCUGGACCUCUGACUGACAUUGUGCCUGCCCAGGUCCUUGUCUGUACCGCCACAGUGCCCUGGGUCCCAUGUCCACCCCUGUCCUGCCCUUCUCUGGGUGAGGGCUGGCCUUCCCCUGCCUCUGCCUGGCUGCAUCCUUGGUUGAUCUCAAGUGCUUUGGCAUGAACUCCACUCUCCUGCAGCCUUUAAUCAGGGAAUGAUGGGUGUGUUCAUACUCCCACCCCACCCCUUGGCCGGGUGAUGCUGAGAUGUGGAUUUUUAACAGUUCCCAGACUUUUCCAGGAGGCUUGGGUUUGGGUGCCCACAGUGGGAGCUGCUGUGAUACACCUUCACUGGCUGCCUUUCCUUCCUGUUCUCUGUGCCCCUACUUCCCACUCUGUAACUGCCCGGUUUCUCUGUUUUCGUGAAAGAGCUGGCCCUGUGCUGCCUCCCACUCUCCCAAUGCCCCUGCCUCUCCUGUGAGCCUGUUGCUGGUGAGAUCGGUGCUGACUUCUGUGUUGCUGGAUAAUGAGUCAUUUAUCUCUGGAGGAGAUGAAGGCAGGUCCUCCACAGCCCUGAUAAAAUCUCCAAGUCUUCCAGUUUCAGGUCCUUCUCCUGGGAUGUAAACCUACUGCCUGCCCAGGUGGCACAGUCCACAUCCCCUCUUCUUGGGAAUAGGGGCAUGGGAAAGUGACUGAAGAUACUGUUCUGGCUGCUGUGUUCACUAAAUGUUGAGAAGAUCAAAUUAAAUGAAAUGAGGUGGUUUGACCAAACAAAGGCCUUUCUCCAUUGGGAAGUUACUCUUCCUCAACAGAGAGCACCUUUCCAGGAUCUUACACCUGGCGGGGAGUUAGCCCUAAAGACCAAGGUUGGUGUUCAAACGAGAUGGCAAAUUUCACAUCUCAAACGCCAUCGCUCCAAAUUCACUCAUUCAGUGAAUAUCAGUGUCUGUGAUGUGCCUUGGGGAUAGAUCAGUGAAUAAAUCAAUGAAAGCUCUGCCGUUUUAAACUAAGAUUUAUAGCAAGGAAGACGGAUGAUAAAUCUAAAAUAUGCAUAAAUAAUGGUGACAUAUUAUUCGGUGCUGACCGAUACCAUAAAGAAAACUGGAGAGUGAGGGCAAGGAAGGCCCCUAGCAAGGGCAGAUGGAUUGGUCUUGGCCAGUGACCAGGGCCUCAUGUCAGGGGGAGGCCAUGUGGAAAUGAGGGCUGUUUGGGGAGUGAGGGGGGAAAACCUAUUGAGUCACAUCCACCGUCUGACUAUAUUGUGUUCUUUGUCAGCUUAGAAAAUACUGCAUAUUUAAUCCAGUUACCAAAAUCAUUUUAAAAUGAAAUUUGACAAGUGGAUUCUAAUAUUCACCUGCGAGAGAAAAUGUCCAGGAAUAGCUUUACAUUUUAAGAGCUGUAGCAAUUAAGGCUGGGCAAGGUGGCUCAUGCCUGUAAUCGCAACACUUUGGGAGGCCUAGG